rnacentral:lncRNA from 1 species
GAAACAUUCUGAAGGAAAGAAAAUAGAGAUGGGACCUCAUUCCUUUAUUUCAGUAUAUCAGGAUUCAGCUAUCAAAAUAAAGAAAUGCCAUUCUCCAGAAAUGAGCAGAGAAAGAAUUUGUAGACUUCUUAUCCUACACUCUUUAUCUUCAACCUUCCCACAAACAGUACCUUCCUUUGCUUCCCACCUUUGCUUAGAAAGGAAUAGUAAUAUUUGCCAUGGCAAUAAUAAGAUUCUGAUAUUUUUUAGGAUUCCUCCUCACCAUCUGGUAGCCGCCAGAGUGAACGGGUAAGCAAUCCUUCCUUUAUGGUAUUGCCAGAUGCCAGCCCCAGUGCUUGGCAACAGCAGCACCUAAUUAAAUCUCCUGUGGAAACCCUGAGGCAGUUCCAGUGUGAGACAGAAAACCCUCAAGAACAGCGGGAAUGAGGAUAUGGAUAAAGAGUUAAAGUAUUGCUAGAAACCUCAGCUGAUGCUGAGGUGUGCUCUUGAAUUUCAAACUCACAUCACAAAUGUGAUAGCACCAUUUACUUGUUCAGGACCUUGCUCUUUUUAAAUCAUUGCUUGACUGCAAAGAGCUUCAAUACCAUGAUUUGUCUAGCACUUAGAAUAAGUGCAACCCUUUGCUUUGUUGUGCUGUAAGACUUAUUUAUGAAGGCUUCCAUUUUCCUAUCAUUUUUACAUGGCACCUGCUGUGUUUAUUCUAAUGACACAGACUGAGAAAUUAUUUUGUUAGAGAUAGAAUUCUUUCAGCUGCUGUAUCCUAGAGAAUAUCUACCACCAAAAGAGCAAUUAUCAAUAGUCAUGAAAGGGUGUGUGCUGUUUUAUACAGAAAGACAGCAGAUUUUUUUUGUUUUUCUUGAACGGUCCAUGACAGAAAAUUAAGGAAUGUGGAGAAGGAAAGAGGAGUGUUUUUCUUCCACUCUGAUCUUUCCAGUUUUUGGGGUUUGGUUUUUUCAUUUAAUUUCAAUACAUUUUUCCAGGAUUUUUAUUCCCCAGGAGGCAGCCAGUCAGGUGGACAUGGGUCAUCUUCUCAAAGUGGUAGCUACUCCAGUGGACAGGACACAGCCUCAUCUGGAAGCAGCCAGUAUGGGGGGCAGGUGGGAAAUUUUUCUUCUUUGUUGUUAUUGUGAUGGUUUUUCCCUCAGUGUAUAUAUUUCAA